AUAUCAAUAAGCGGAGGAAAAGAAACUAACUAGGAUUCCCUUAGUAACGGCGAGUGAACUGGGAAGAGCCCAACUUGAAAAUCUCCAGGCUUUGCCUGGCGAAUUGUAGUCUAUAGAAGCGCCCUCUGCGGCGGGCCGUGCCCAAGUCCCCUGGGAGGGGGCGUCAGAGAGGGUGAGAACCCGUCGGCACGCACCUGUCCGCUCCACGAGGCGCUUCGCAGAGUCGGGUUGUUUGGGAAUGCAGCCCUAAGCAGGUGGUAAAUCCCAUCUGAGGCUAAAUACUGACGGGAGACCGAUAGCGCACAAGUA
rnacentral:rRNA from 1 species